GGAGCAACCCUGCGGCGUCUACCAUGCAGUCGAACGGGACAGGUGCACUCUGGUUCGGUGGCGGACGGGUGCGUACCUGAGGAACAUGACCUUCGGCGGGGGAUAGCCGGCCCAACGGCCGGGUAAUACCGCGUACGACCUUUCGGGGACAUCCCUGGAUUGUGAAAGCAGCAAUGCGCCGAUUGAGUGCCUCGCGGCCUAUCAGCUAGUUGGUGGGGUAACGGCUCACCAAGGCGACGACGGGUAGCUGGUCUGAGAGGAUGGCCAGCCACAUUGGGACUGAGACACGGCCCAGACUCCUACGGGAGGCAGCAGUGGGGAAUAUUGCGCAAUGGACGAAAGUCUGACGCAGCGACGCCGCGUGUGGGAUGACGGUCUUCGGAUUGUAAACCACUGUCGGGAGGGACGAAUACGCCGCAAGGCGGGUGACGGUACCUCCAAAGGAAGCACCGGCUAACUCCGUGCCAGCAGCCGCGGUAAUACGGAGGGUGCGAGCGUUGUCCGGAAUCACUGGGCGUAAAGGGCGCGUAGGCGGCCUGAUAAGUAGGGGGUGAAAUCCUGCGGCUUAACCGCA
rnacentral:rRNA from 1 species